GGCGCCCUGCCAGAGGCGCGCUCCAGCCGCGGGCCCGCCCCCCCGGCCCUCCGAUUGGGCGUCCCCGGGGGUGUGUGGGGGGGCGGGGCGCCCGCGGGGGCCGCCGGCCGGUGGUACGGCCCAGCCACCGGCCUCCAACACCCCUCGCCGCGGCUCAAGUUUCUGCGCCCGGAGGACGCGGCCUCGGCCAAUCCCCGGGCUACAGGGCGCUUUUAAAAUGCAGGCCCAACCCCGUGCAAAUGAAUCCGGGUUUGGAGAGGGUUUCAGCUUACACUUGGGGAGGCGGCAAGCCACUCCCCCGUCCCAAGCCAGAUCAAACAGCUCCCUGGAGGUAUCCCCCAAAGGAAGCCCGUGCAGAGAGCUCCUGGAAGAGAAGAGGUGAGCAGAGGAUUCAUGAGCCCACUAGAGAAGUUGUGGAGGUGGGUACAGCCGAAGGAGCCAUCCGGCCUGCUGCUGGAGGCAAAGGGGACUCACCGAGACGUGGUCGUAAGUCGACUUCACGGCUGAGCCUGACUCUGGAAUGGCUGGCUCCAGAAAUGAGUGGGGUCACUGGGGACCUCAGCUUGGUGUCCCCAUAUUCCUGCAUGAGGAAGAUGGCCAGAGGAUAG
rnacentral:lncRNA from 1 species